rnacentral:rRNA from 1 species
GUCGCUCCUACCGAUACCGGGUGUUGUGCUGAACCUAUUAGACCACUUGUGGAAAGAUAUGUAAAGCUUAACACCUAGAGGAAGGAG